UUCACUGCUUGUUCUCACAUGAAUGC
rnacentral:piRNA from 1 species